GGCUAGGUCAUUUUGGGGGUUUAACUCGUUUGGCUAAACCUUCGACUUAGCAAGCCGAGGGGCAAGGGUUCCCUUCCCUUAACCUAUAUUGGGCUUAUGCCCUAAAUGUAAUUAAGUAUGUUUUAAGUAACUUUGUUAAAGUAAUUGUUGGAAUGUGAAACNCAAGAAGUUAAAAUUUCUGGGUUAAGUUGAGAUCUGUUGAUAUUAAGAAAAAUGUCUAGAAGCAAAAGCAAGCUUUCGAUAAAACCCGAAGUUGUUUCGCUAAAGUGCAAGGAUUAAACAGGAUUGUAUUUUUCAGCAGCCUAUUUUAUAAACGAUCUGCAUUUAGUAAAUAGUUUUUAGUUAGGAAAUAAUGUAGAUUACUAAGUGUGAUGUCUGAGAGAAGGACAAGUAUUGUAGCGAGCUUAAAUCCUUAUUAUCGUUGCCAGUAUUUAGUGGUAGGGAUUCGGAUAAGAUUGCCAGUUAUAAGUUGGAGGAAGGCAAAGAUUGCAUUAAAUCGUUAUCGCUCUUAUGUUUUAGGUUACAAGUUUGCAACAAUAACUCAAAAAAGCCAAGCAAAAUACCAUAAAGCAGAUUUCAGUUUGGAU
rnacentral:misc_RNA from 1 species